AGGGCACCACCAGGAGUGGAGCCUGCGGCUUAAUUUGACUCAACACGGGAAACCUCACCAGGCCCAGACACCGGAAGGAUUGACAGAUUGAUAGCUCUUUCUUGAUUCGGUGGGUGGUGGUGCAUGGCCGUUCUUAGUUGGUGGGGCGAUUUGUCUGGUUAAUUCCGAUAACGAACGAGACUCUAGCCUGCUAAAUAGGCGUACCUUAUGGUAUCUCGAAGGCCCCCGGCCUCGGUCGGCGGGUUUUUACUACCAACGUACAAACAAAUCUUCUUAGAGGGACAGGCGGCUUCUAGCCGCACGAGAUUGAACAAUAACAGGUCUGUGAUGCCCUUAGAUGUUCUGGGCCGCACGCGCGCUACACUGAAGGAAUCAGCGUGUGUUCCCUGGCCGAAAGGCCCGGGUAACCCGCUGAACCUCCUUCGUGCUAGGGAUUGGGGCUUGCAAUUGUUCCCCAUGAACGAGGAAUUCCCAGUAAGCGCGAGUCAUAAGCUCGCGUUGAUUACGUCCCUGCCCUUU
rnacentral:rRNA from 1 species